AUUGAACGCUGGCGGAAUGCUUUACACAUGCAAGUCGAACGGCAGCACGGGGGCAACCCUGGUGGCGAGUGGCGAACGGGUGAGUAAUACAUCGGAACGUGCCCAGUCGUGGGGGAUAACGUAGCGAAAGUUACGCUAAUACCGCAUACGAUCUACGGAUGAAAGCGGGGGACCGUAAGGCCUCGCGCGAUUGGAGCGGCCGAUGUCAGAUUAGGUAGUUGGUGAGGUAAAGGCUCACCAAGCCGACGAUCUGUAGCUGGUCUGAGAGGACGACCAGCCACACUGUGACUGAGACACGGCCCAGACUCCUACGGGAGGCAGCAGUGGGGAAUUUUGGACAAUGGGCGCAAGCCUGAUCCAGCCGUUCCGCGUGCAGGACGAAGGCCUUCGGGUUGUAAACUGCUUUUGUACGGAACGAAAAGGCUCUGGUUAAUACCUGGGGCUCAUGACGGUACCGUAAGAAUAAGCACCGGCUAACUACGUGCCAGCCGCCGCAGUAA
rnacentral:rRNA from 1 species